GCAUCAGUGGUCUAACGGUUAUGAUCCGGUCUUCCCAUAACCGGAUCCCACUUAUUGAUGGUAUGGCCGGGAAAGGGGUUCGACUCCCCUCUGAUGCA
rnacentral:tRNA from 1 species